GACGAACGCUGGCGGCGUGCCUAACACAUGCAAGUCGAGCGGGGAGAGGUUUUCGGAUUUCUCUUUAGCGGCGGACGGGUGAGUAACACGUGGGUAACCUGCCUCAAAGAGGGGGAUAGCCUUCCGAAAGGAGGAUUAAUACCGCAUAAUAUCAGGAAGCUGCAUGGCAUUCUGAUUAAAGGAGCAAUCCGCUUUGAGAUGGACCCGCGGCGCAUUAGCUAGUUGGUGAGGUAACGGCCCACCAAGGCGACGAUGCGUAACCGACCUGAGAGGGUGAUCGGCCACAUUGGAACUGAGACACGGUCCAGACUCCCACGGGAGGCAGCCGCAAGGAAUAUUGCACAAUGGGGGGAACCCUGAUGCAGCAACGCCGCGUGGGCGAUGAAGGCCUUCGGGUUGUAAAGCCCUUUUCUAAAGGAAGAGACAAGGACGGUACUUUAGGAAUAAGUCUCGGCUAACUACGUGCCAGCAGCCGCGGUAACAC
rnacentral:rRNA from 1 species